GACGAACGCUGGCGGCGUGCUUAACACAUGCAAGUCGAACGGAAAGGCCCUGCUUUUGUGGGGUGCUCGAGUGGCGCACGGGUGAGUAACACGUGAGUAUCCUGCCCUUGACUUAGGGAUAUCUUCAGGAAACUGGGGCUAAUACCGCUUAUGAGCUCCUGCUGCAUAGUGGGGGUUGGUAAGUUUCGGCGGUUGUGGAUGGACUCGCGGCUUACCAGCUUGUUAGUGGGGUAGUGGCUUACCAAGGCUUUGACGGGUAGGCGGCCUGGGAGGGUGACCGGGCACAAUGGGACUGCGAUACGGCCCAGAAUGCUACGGGAGGCAGGAGUGGGGAACAUUGCACAAUGGCGGCAAGCCUGUUGCAGCAACGCUGGGUGCGGGAUGGUGGCCUUCUGGUGGAAAACCGCUUUCGACGGUGACGUAGCGUUAGUGACGGUAAUGGAUAAAGAAGCACCGGCUAACUACGUG
rnacentral:rRNA from 1 species